CCUACGGGAGGCAGCAGUGGGGAAUCUUAGACAAUGGGGGCAACCCUGAUCUAGCCAUGCCGCGUGAGUGAUGAAGGCCUUAGGGUCGUAAAGCUCUUUCGCCUGUGAUGAUAAUGACAGUAGCAGGUAAAGAAACCCCGGCUAACUCCGUGCCAGCAGCCGCGGUAAUACGGAGGGGGUUAGCGUUGUUCGGAAUUACUGGGCGUAAAGCGCGCGUAGGCGGAUUAGAAAGUUGGGGGUGAAGUCCCGGGGCUCAACCUCGGAACUGCCUCCAAAACUGCUAGUCUAGAGUUCGAGAGAGGUGAGUGGAAUUCCGAGUGUAGAGGUGAAAUUCGUAGAUAUUCGGAGGAACACCAGUGGCGAAGGCGGCUCACUGGCUCGAUACUGACGCUGAGGUGCGAAAGUGUGGGGAGCAAACAGGAUUAGAUACCCUGGUAGUCCACACCGUAAACGAUGAAUGCCAGUCGUCGGGUAGUAUACUAUUCGGUGACACACCUAACGGAUUAAGCAUUCCGCCUGGGGAGUACGGUCGCAAGAUUAAAACUCAAAGGAAUUGACGG
rnacentral:rRNA from 1 species